rnacentral:rRNA from 1 species
AUUUGAAAUCUGGCGCAAGCCCGAGUUGUAAUUUGUAGAGGAUGCUUCUGGGUAGCGGCCGGUCUAAGUUCCUUGGAACAGGACGCAAUAGAGGGUGAGAAUCCCGUAUGUGACUGGCUUGCACCCUCCACGUAGCUCCUUCGACGAGUCGAGUUGUUUGGGAGUGCAGCUCUAAAUGGGAGGUAAAUUUCUUCUAAAGCUAAAUACCGGCCAGAGACCGAUAGCGCACAAGUAGAGUGAUCGAAAGAUGAAAAGCACUUUGGAAAGAGAGUUAAAAAGCACGUGAAAUUGUUGAAAGGGAAGCGCCCGCAACCAGACUUUGCGGCAGGGUUCGGCCGGUCUUCUGACCGGGUCUCUCGCUGUCCGCUGGCCAUCAUCGUCUGGGACCGCUGGAUAAGACCUUAGGAAUGUGGCUCCCCUCGGGGAGUGUUAUGACCUCUGGUGUAGCCUUUCGUCCCGGGCGAGGUCCGCGCUUCGGAAGUGUGAUGGCGAAAUGCUGCGAGCCUCCCCCACUUGAAACUCUGGCUUCGGAGUCUAACAUCAUAUGCAAGUGUUCGGUUGGGUCCCCCCUACGCGUAUCUGUACUCAAAUCGGAGGUGAGGACAUUUUGGUCGGCCGAUGACCGCACCAUGAUGUUCCUACGACCGUUCAGAUUCAAAACAACGUAUGUUGGUGCCAGCAAAACGCUGAAAUAUACCUGAGUAGGCUUGGAUCCAAGGGUCAACUUUGGGGCGGGGCCCACCCCGGACUCUGAUCAUGCAAUGCCGAUAGCGCAAAUCUUCGCCAUGGGAGGCGAAAGCAUUAACCAGAAGCCAUACUAGUAGCUGCGUACGUGAGCCAAGAUUCCUUAGGUAUAAUAUGCCGUUUUAGACUUAUUAUGAGG